rnacentral:rRNA from 1 species
CGUCUUCUAGAAAAGAUAGAUGGUAAUUAUCUAUGAACAAAUUUAUAAAGUGAAUAGAUAGUACUAGAUCUGAUAUAAGUCGUAACAUGGUUGCUGUUGGAGAACCAUUAGCAGGAUCAUAA